GGCGGGAUUGAAGACGGCUGGACUGCCAAUGCGCCUGCGCAGGGGGUCCGGGGCUAGCGCCGCUGGGCUGCUCUGCCCGAAGGGCUCAACUGUCAGUGCGCCUGCGCGGGAGGCCAGUAGGUAGCCAAUGCUCCCUGGACGCCCCGCUAGGGCCCUGCUGUCAGUGCGCCUGCGCGAGGGGCCAGUAUGUUGCCGAUGCUCCCUGGACGCCCCGCCAGGGCCCUGCUGUCAGUGCGCCUGCGCGCGGGCUGGGCGCCGCGGUUCUUGACUUUGCUGUGCCGGACUCCGAGUGUAGACAUGCAGCAAGCCGACUCCGAGCAGCCCUCCAAGCGGCCCCGUUGCGAUGACAGCCCGAGAACCCCCCCAAACACCCCUUCCGCAGAGGCAGACCGGUCCUUGGGUCCGGAACUCCAUCCUGACCACAAGACGUGGGGCCCGGAGCAGGUGUGCUCCUUCCUCAGGCGCGGUGGCUUCAAAGAGCCGGGGCUGUUGAAGAACAUCCGAGAAAAUAAAAUCACAGGCUCAUUACUGCCCUGUCUUGAUGAGUCUCAUUUUGAAAAUCUUGGAGUAAGUUCCUUGUGGGAGAGGAAGAGGCUGCUUAGUUAUAUCCAGCGAAUGAGUCAAAUCCACAUUGAUACGAUGAAGGUAAUUAAUGAUCCUAUCCAUGGCCACAUUGAGCUCCACCCUCUCCUCAUCCGAAUCAUUGAUACGCCUCAAUUUCAACGUCUUCGAUAUAUCAAACAGCUGGGAGGUGGUUAUUAUGUUUUUCCAGGAGCUUCACACAAUCGAUUUGAGCAUAGUCUAGGGGUGGGGUAUUUGGCAGGAUGUCUAGUUCGAGCACUUUGUGAAAAACAACCAGAGCUGCAGAUAAGUGAACGAGAUAUGCUCUGUGUUCAGAUUGCUGGGCUUUGUCAUGAUCUUGGUCAUGGGCCAUUUUCUCACAUGUUUGAUGGACGAUUUAUUCCACUUGCUCGCCCGGAGGUGAAAUGGACACAUGAACAAGGCUCAGUUAAGAUGUUUGAGCACCUAAUUAAUUCUAAUGGACUCAAGGCUGUCAUGGAACACUAUGGUCUCAUCCCUGAAGAAGAUAUUUGCUUUAUCAAGGAACAAAUUGCAGGACCACUUGAAUCACCUAUCAAAAAAGAUUCUUUGUGGCCAUAUAAAGGGCGUCCUAAAGAAAAAAGCUUCCUUUAUGAGAUAGUGGCUAAUAAAAGAAAUGGCAUUGAUGUGGACAAGUGGGAUUAUUUUGCCAGGGACUGCCAUCAUCUUGGAAUCCAAAAUAAUUUUGAUUACAAGCGUUUUAUUAAGUUUGCCCGUGUCUGUGAAGUAGAAAGCAAGUUGCAUAUUUGUACUAGAGAUAAGGAAGUUGGAAAUCUGUAUGACAUGUUCCACACUCGCAACUGUUUACACCGUAGAGCUUAUCAACACAAAGUUGGCAACAUCAUUGAUACAAUGAUUACAGAUGCGUUCCUCAAAGCGGACCCCUACAUAGAGAUUACAGGUACUGAAGGAAAGAAGUAUUGCAUUUCUACAGCAAUUGAUGACAUGGAAGCCUACACUAAGCUGACAGAUAACAUUUUUCUGGAGAUUUUAUACUCUACUGAUCCCAAAUUGAAGGCGGCACGAGAGAUUUUAAAAAGUAUUGAAUACCGUAAUUUAUACAAGUAUGUGGGUGAGACCCAGCCAACAGGACAAAUAAAGAUUAAAAGGGAGAACUAUGAAUGUCUUCCAAAAGAGGUUGCUGAUGCUAAACCCAAAGUACCACUAGAAGUAAAGCUGAAGGCUGAACAUUUUAUAGUGGAUGUUAUCAACAUGGAUUAUGGAAUGCAAGACAAGAAUCCAAUUGAUCAUGUUCGAUUCUAUUGUAAGAGUGACCCCAGCAAAGCGAUAAUGAUUACUAAAAACCAGGUUUCACAACUUCUGCCAGAGAGAUUUGCAGAGCAGCUGAUUCGAGUAUACUGUAAGAAGACAGAUGCGAAGAGUUUGUAUGCUGCACAGCAACACUUUGUUCAGUGGUGUUCUGACAAAAAUUUCACCAAGCCGCAGAGUCACAGGCACCCGGUACUGGUGGCAGGCAGAAGGGCCUCAACGUGCCAGAGCAGCCCAGAGGAAGAACAACGCUGCUAGAGCCUUUCUUAGUUCCAGUGCUCAAGCCCAGGUGUCCAAGGUUUGACAACAUUCUGACAUGACCUUGACCUGAAGGAGUAAGGUAAACAUUGCUGUGGAAGAAAUUAAGACCAAGUUCAUGGUGCCGCUUGGAAUCGUGAUCAAGGGACUACCAGGAAUUCAUGGGGAAUACAAGUGCCAGAAGACCAAAGAUAGAGACAGCAUCUCACUCUGUUGCCCAGGCUGGUCUUGAACUCCUGAGCUCCAGCAAUCAUCCCACCUCAGCCCCGCAAAAUGCUGGGAUUACAGGUAUGAGCCAGCCACCGCACCUGGCCAUCUUUGGUUUUGUUUUUGUUUUUUUCCUAUUUGUAGAGAAUGGCACCUCACUCUGUUGCCCAGGCUGGUCUUGAACUCCUGGGCUCAAGAGAUUCUCCUGCCUCUGCCUCCCUAAGUGCUGGGAUUAUAGGCAUGAGCCACAGUGCUUGGCCUGGCCAUUUUUAUUAGUAGUAAAAAUAGUAUGCUCUGUGCCCAGCAGGUACUGCUCAAUAGCUUCAGUUGAUGAAUAGCCCAGAGGCAAGAAGUCUUUGGAUGGAAGGCGUUUGGGAUUGUGAUUCUCACCCAGCUCCUUGGCAGCUUGUGCCACCUGACUGUACCAGUCACUCUUCCGCUCAUCAUUAAUUAGAAACUUGAGCUCUGACUCACCACCCCCGACCCUUCCCAGCGCCCUGGUAAACUUCACCAUCCAUGUGAAUCCAUCCAGGGCCUCCCCCAGAGUGGGUUUCCACCACUGUCUUUUGUGGUCACAUCUGAGAAUUUGUCCUCACCAGGGAUGGCAGGUGGCUCCUCCACAGCCUAUUUCAAAUGUCCUUCUCUCCUGUCUUCCAACACAUUGUUCAGCUGCUGUUGCUGCCCCAAGUCUUUGACGUCAAGGAGAACUCUCGCCCUGAGUCCACCUUUGCCUGGGUGCCCCUCAGCGCCCUGGCCUCCCUCCCCUCCGUGUCCAGUCUGAGUUCUAUGGUCCAUAUUGUAUUUUCAUUACGUUCAACUUUCUUGGUUCCCUCCACUGUUAAACCCAUUUGGCAAAAUCCCAACCCUGGCGGCCCACUCUCUGCAGUCCACUCUCUGCUGCCCCCACUCUGCAGGACUGCGCCGAGCAGCCAAUGCUGCCAAAGAAGCAGGCACCGAAACAGCAGCGCCCUGACCUCGCAACACCAGAUGCCACUCGCACAGCCCAGCAGCGCUUCUGCUGCUCUGACUCGAGCUUUCCAGCAGGUUUCCCUGCUUCCCUCCCUUCCCACACCUGUGAUGACUGUGAUAUUCCCUUCUUCGCCCUCCUCUAGCAGUGACCUCACCCCAUAUUUAUUCCUUUUUUUUUUUUUGGAGACAGGGUCUUGCUCUGUCACCCAGUCUGGAGUGUAGUGGUGCGAUCACAGCUCACCACAGCCUCAACCUCCCGAGUUUUUAAAAGAUCCUCCCCCCACAGCCUCUCGAGUAGCUGGGACCAUAGGUGUGCUCCACCAUGUCCAGCUAAUUUUUGUGUUUCUUGUAGAGGUGGGGUCUCCUUAUGUUGCCGAGGUUGAUCUUGAAAUCCUGGCCUCAAACGACCCAUUUGCGUUGGCCUCCAACGCAGGCCUGAACCACGGUGCUCAGCCUCCAUACUUCCUAAGAAGCCUCUGGCUGAGUCCUCCUUCGUCAUCCUGCCACCAUGCCCUCAGGUCUACCUUGGACCAUCUUGUCUUCCCAGCCUGUGCCUGGCAAGCACUGUCCUCCCUCCUCUCAGCCAGUCAGCAGUACCCAGAGACCCACCAAGCAUGUUUUAAAUGCAGGAUGGGCAGGUCAAGGGGGAUGCUCUGCCCACCCCUGCCCUGCUCAUUCCCCCUGUGGAAAGAUGGUGGCACACCAGGCAGCCCAUCAUGAAGGAUGGAGCUGGGGGGCCACUGGGACCCCAGGAGCUCUGUCUUGCCACACAUCCCACUCCCCCCAUGGAAGGUUGGAACAUCACCUUCAGCUGUGGAGAGAAGGAGAAGAGGAAUGUCUCGCCGGUGCCAUAGAAGCCUUUGCUGAGUCGGAGAGCCGAGGAGGAGAAGGCUCCAAAUAUCUGGAAAGCAGAAGUUGCAGUCUGCAGCUGUGAGGGAGCUGGGGGUCCUCUGGCAACCCCCAUUCUCCAGAUUUAGUAACAUGGGCUCAUCCUAGAGGGCACCUGGGAAGCUGGGGCAGAGCUGGGGCAUGGGGGCUGCACACCCAUGAACAGGAAUCCUUAUGCAUCCUUCCCUUAACGCUCCCCAAGGAAGAGCUCCUGGUGGCUCCUCCUCUGGGCAGUCAGAGCCCUCCUUUUUCUCAAAUACACUUAUUCUAGGCUGAGUGCGGUGGCUCACACCUGUAAUCCCAGCACUUUGGGAGGCUGAGGUCAGGAGUUGGAGACCAACCUGGCCAACAUAGCCAAACCCCAUCUCUCUACUAAGCAUACAAAAGUUAGCCAGGUGUGGUGGCAGGUGCCUGUAAUCCCAGCUGCUUAGGAGGCUGAGGCAGGAGAAUCACUUGAACCUGGGAGGUGGAGGUUGCAGUGAGCCAAGAUUGUGCCAUUACACUCCAGUCUGGAAGGCAAAGUGAGACUCUGUUUAUAUAUAUAUAUAUAUAUAUACUUACUCUAUACAAGUAAUCAUACAAAAAGUGGAAGUUAUAGACAAGCAAAAGAAAAGAAGUAAAGCUAUCUCCCAAUCCCCCUCCUUCCCCAGGGUAACUGCCUCAAUAUUUUUAUGUGUUUCCUUCUGACAUCAGUUUAAUGCCAGUGUAUAUCUUUUUUUCUUUUCUUUUUUUUUUUUUUUUUUUUGAUAGGGUCUCACUGUGUCCCCUAUGCUGGAGUGCAGUGGUGUGAUCCUGGCUCACUGUAGCCUCAACCUUGCAGGCUCAAGUGAUCCUCCUGCCUCAGCCUCCCUGCAAGACCCUCGGCCCCAGUUGCUGGGACUCUAGGCACACACCACCACACCUAAUUUUGUUGUUGUUUUGUAGAGAUAGCGUCUGGUUAUGUUGCCCAGGCUGGUUUUGAACUCCUGGACUCAAGCAAUCCUCCUGCCUCAGCCUCCCAGGGUGCUGGGAUUACAGGUGUGAGCCCCAUAGUUUCUUCUGCUUCCGAGGAUGAAGAUGCAGUUUUACAGUUUAAUGAUUAUUUGCUUUCUGUCUGACCCUUCCCCCUGUUAGACCAUUAGCUCCAAGAGAGCUGGGGCCACUUCUGGGUUGAUUCUGCUCUAUCCCACCUGUCACCUGGCAUGCAGAAGCUGUCUCAUGUAGAUGUGUUGAAUACAUAAAUGGGGAAUGGCUCUGAGUGGCCAGGUCUCGUUGCUAUCA